CUACGGGUUGCAGCAGUGAGGAAUAUUGCACAAUGGGGGGAGCCCUGAUGCAGCAACGCCGCGUGGAGGAUGACGCAUUUCGGUGUGUAGACUCCUUUUAUAUGUCAAGAAAAUGACGGUAGCAUAUGAAUAAGCACCGGCUAACUCCGUGCCAGCAGCCGCGGUAAUACGGAGGGUGCAAGCGUUACUCGGAAUCACUGGGCGUAAAGGACGCGUAGGCGGGCUUGUAAGUCAGGUGUGAAAUCCUACAGCUUAACUGUAGAACUGCACUUGAAACUACGAGCCUAGAGUAUGGGAGGGGGAGAUGGAAUUAGUGGUGUAGGGGUAAAAUCCGUAGAUAUCACUAGGAAUACCUAAAGCGAAGGCGAUCUCCUGGAACAUAACUGACGCUAAGGCGUGAAAGCGUGGGGAGCAAACAGGAUUAGAUACCCCCGUAGUC
rnacentral:rRNA from 1 species